AGAGUUUGAUCCUGGCUCAGAUUGAACGCUGGCGGCAUGCCUUACACAUGCAAGUCGAACGGUAACAGGGAGCUUGCUCCGCUGACGAGUGGCGAACGGGUGAGUAAUAUAUCGGAACGUGCCUGGUAAUGGGGGACAACUAGUCGAAAGAUUAGCUAAUACCGCAUACGCCCUACGGGGGAAAGAGGGGGAUUCGCAAGAACCUCUCGUUAUCAGAGCGGCCGAUAUCUGAUUAGCUAGUUGGUGAGGUAAAGGCUCACCAAGGCUUCGAUCAGUAGCUGGUCUGAGAGGACGACCAGCCACACUGGGACUGAGACACGGCCCAGACUCCUACGGGAGGCAGCAGUGGGGAAUUUUGGACAAUGGGCGCAAGCCUGAUCCAGCAAUGCCGCGUGAGUGAAGAAGGCCUUCGGGUUGUAAAGCUCUUUUGUCAGGGAAGAAAACGGUCUUGGUUAAUACCUGGGGCUAAUGACGGUACCUGAAGAAU
rnacentral:rRNA from 1 species